CCUACGGGAGGCAGCAGUGAGGAAUAUUGGUCAAUGGGCGGAAGCCUGAACCAGCCAAGUAGCGUGCAGGAUGACGGCCCUACGGGUUGUAAACUGCUUUUAUACGGGAAUAACGCGCGUUACGUGUAGGGCUUUGCAUGUACCGUAUGAAUAAGGACCGGCUAAUUCCGUGCCAGCAGCCGCGGUAAUACGGAAGGUCCGGGCGUUAUCCGGAUUUAUUGGGUUUAAAGGGAGCGUAGGCCGCAUGUCAAGCGUGCUGUGAAAUGUCCGGGCUCAACCCGGGCCUUGCAGCGCGAAUGGGCGUGCUGGAGUCAGCGGAAAGCAGGCGGAAUUCGUGGUGUAGCGGUGAAAGGCUGAGAGAUGACGAAGAACCCGGAUUGCGAAGGCAGCUUGCUGCAGCGGAAGUGACGCUGAUGCUCGAAAGCGCGGGUAUCGAACAGGAUUAGAUACCCUGGUAGUC
rnacentral:rRNA from 1 species